rnacentral:rRNA from 1 species
GACGAACGCUGGCGGCGUGCUUAACACAUGCAAGUCGAACGGAAAGGCCCUGCUUUUGUGGGGUGCUCGAGUGGCGAGCGGGUGAGUAACACGUGAGUAACCUGCCCUUGACUUUGGGAUAACUUCAGGAAACUGGGGCUAAUACCGGAUAGGAGCUCCUGCUGCAUGGUGGGGGUUGGAAAGUUUCGGCGGUUGGGGAUGGACUCGCGGCUUAUCAGCCUGUUGGUGGGGUAGUGGCUUACCAAGGCUUUGACGGGUAGCCGGCCUGAGAGGGUGACCGGCCACAUUGGGACUGAGAUACGGCCCAGACUCCUACGGGAGGCAGCAGUGGGGAAUAUUGCACAAUGGGCGGAAGCCUGAUGCAGCAACGCCGCGUGCGGGAUGACGGCCUUCGGGUUGUAAACCGCUUUCGCCUGUGACGAAGCGUGAGUGACGGUAAUGGGUAAAGAAGCACCGGCUAACUACGUG